GGCUCAGGAUAAACGCUAGCUACAGGCUUAACACAUGCAAGUCGAGGGGCAGCAUGAACUUAGCUUGCUAAGUUGAUGGCGACCGGCGCACGGGUGAGUAACACGUAUCCAACCUGCCGAUGACUCGGGGAUAGCCUUUCGAAAGAAAGAUUAAUACCCGAUGGCAUAGUUCUUCCGCAUGGUAGAACUAUUAAAGAUUUAUCGGUGAUGGAUGGGGAUGCGUCUGAUUAGCUUGUUGGCGGGGUAACGGCCCACCAAGGCGACGAUCAGUAGGGGUUCUGAGAGGAAGGUCCCCCACAUUGGAACUGAGACACGGUCCAAACUCCUACGGGAGGCAGCAGUGAGGAAUAUUGGUCAAUGGACGAGAGUCUGAACCAGCCAAGUAGCGUGCAGGAUGACGGCCCUAUGGGUUGUAAACUGCUUUUAUAAGGGAAUAAAGUGAGUCUCGUGAGGCUUUUGCAUGUACCUUAUGAAUAAGGACCGGCUAAUUCCGUG
rnacentral:rRNA from 1 species